rnacentral:rRNA from 1 species
CGGACGGGUGAGUAACGCGUGAGAAUCUACCUUCAGGAUGGGGGCAACCGUUGGAAACGACGGCUAAUCCCCAAUAAGCCGCAAGGUGAAACGGGAUUCCGCCUGGAAAGAGGAGCUCGCGUCCGAUUAGUUAGUUGGUGAGGUAAGAGCUUACCAAGGCAGCGAUCGGUAGCUGGUCUGAGAGGAUGAGCAGCCACACUGGGACUGAGACACGGCCCAGACUCCUACGGGAGGCAGCAGUGGGGAAUUUUCCGCAAUGGGCGCAAGCCUGACGGAGCAACGCCGCGUGUGGGAAGAAGGCUCUUGGGCUGUCAACCACUUUUCUCAGGGAAGAAGCCCUGACGGUACCUGAGGAAUCAGCCUCGGCUAACUCCGUGCCAGCAGCCGCGGUAAUACGGAGGAGGCAAGCGUUAUCCGGAAUUAUUGGGCGUAAAGCGUCCGCAGGGGGCACAUCAAGUCUGCUGUUAAAGGCUGGAGCUUAACUCCGGUAGAGCAGUGGAAACUGGUGUGCUAGAGGGCGACAGGGGUAGAGGGAAUUCCCAGUGUAGCGGUGAAGUGCGUAGAGAUUGGGAAGAACACCGGUGGCGAAAGCGCUCUACUGGGUCGCACCUGACCCUUCAGGGAACGAAAGCUAAAGGUAGCGAAAGGGAUUAGAUACCCCUGUAGUC